rnacentral:rRNA from 1 species
GCGAAAGCGUGAUGGAGCAAUGCCGCGUGCAGGAUGAAGGCCUUCGGGUUGUAAACUGCUGUCAGGGUUUAGGAACAUAAUGACCAGACCCAAAGGAAGAGACGGCUAACUCUGUGCCAGCAGCCGCGGUAAUACAGAGGUCUCGAGCGUUAAUCGGAAUCACUGGGCUUAAAGCGUACGCAGGCGGACCGGUAAGUACUUUGUGAAAUCCCCCGGCUCAACCGGGGAACUGCUUGGUAUACUGCCGGUCUGGAGCAUGGUAGAGGCGGUCGGAACGAUAGGUGGAGCGGUGAAAUGCGUAGAUAUCUAUCGGAACGCCGAAGGUGAAGACAGGCCGCUGGGCCAUGGCUGACGCUCAGGUACGAAAGCGUGGGGAGCGAACGGGAUUAGAUACCCCGGUAGUCCACGCCCUAAACGAUGUGCACUAGAUCAGGGAGGUUCUGAUACCCUCCGGGUCGAAGCAAAAGUGUUAAGUGCACCGCCUGGGGAGUACGGUCGCAAGGCUAAAACUCAAAG